rnacentral:rRNA from 1 species
UACGUAGGGAGCAAGCGUUGUCCGGAAUCAUUGGGCGUAAAGAGCUCGUAGGCGGUUUGCUCAGUCGGAUGUGAAACCUCCAGGCUCAACCUGGAGCCGCCAUUCGAUACUGGCAUGACUAGAGUCCGGUAGGGGCCCACGGAACUCCUGGUGUAGCGGUGAAAUGCGCAGAUAUCAGGAAGAACACCGAUGGCGAAGGCGGUGGGCUGGGCCGGCACUGACGCUGAGGAGCGAAAGCGUGGGGAGCGAACAGG